rnacentral:tRNA from 1 species
CAAAGCAGAGCUUGAGAGUUAAGUAUUUCAUUUACACUGAAAUUAUAUCGUGCAAAUCGAUUGUUUUGA